CCCAUUUUGACCUUAUCUUGGUGUACGGUGUUAAGUGUGGAUCAAUGGAUUCAGGCCACUUCUAAUGAGCUUGUGAUGGAGAGAGCCAUCUACCCUCAGAGAGAUGACUGUAGGAACUGAAUGUGGAUCACAACUGCUCUACUUUGAUUUUCCUGGUCUUUAUCACCAUGACUCAGCAGCCUUCUUAACUUGAAACUUCCUUCAGUGCCUGAGGCUUUUGUUCCUUAGAACAUCUCUCCACCAUACCCAAUGGGAGUGCUGGUGUCCUUCGUGAUACUCGUUUCCACGGCAACCACUUCUGUUUAUUAGCCAUCGUUCAUCGA